UACGAAGGGGGCUAGCGUUGUUCGGAAUUACUGGGCGUAAAGGGCGCGUAGGCGGUGUGUCAAGUCAGGCGUGAAAGCCCCGGGCUCAACCUGGGAACCGCGCUUGAGACUGGCACGCUCGAGUUCGGGAGAGGAUGGUGGAAUUCCCAGUGUAGAGGUGAAAAUUCGUAGAUAUUGGGAAGAACACCGAUGGCGAAGGCAGCCAUCUGGACCGACACUGACGCUGAGGCGCGAAAGCGUGGGGAGCCAAAC
rnacentral:rRNA from 1 species